rnacentral:lncRNA from 1 species
AUUUGAAGGCCAGUGUUCUUUUCUUUACUCUGCUUAUUCUAGGUGUGUCAUGGUGGAAAGAGUGCUGCAUUUGGAGUUGGACGUCUUCAGUACAUAGCCCAGCUUUGUUGUUUGCUCCCUCUGUGGAUUUGGAUAAGCUCUGCAUCUCUUCAUUUGCCAAACGAGGUCAUUGGAGUGAGAAUCCCUAAAUGCAUUUCAACACAAAGUUUCUAUUUCUGCUCUGUGGUCUUCUAUCCAACCCAUGAGAGAGAUGAGGUGGCACUAAUACUUGACGUUAUCAAAGGCUCUUGGAGAUGGGGAUUCCAAAACAUGAAGGUAAGAUAAGAGAACAACAAUCUAAGACUAGGGAAGAACCUUGGAA